CUGAGUCGUGUGGAGCUGCACAAGUGGGGGAGUUUGGUGAGCGGCAGCAGGGACGGACAGGUCCUGGACAACAUGGUCAUCGACCUGUAGGGCAGUGACCUGGUGACGUCACGCAGCGUCGUCUUACCAAUGGUGGAAGAGGACUUCACCAUGCUUUAUGUGAUAGGAGGAAAUAAAUCAUUCCAAACAGG